rnacentral:tRNA from 1 species
GGGUUAGUAGCUCAAUCGGUAGAGCAGCGGUCUCCAAAGCCGCCGGCUGGUGGUUCGAAUCCAUCCUGGCCCGC